GCCUGGGUGGCUCAGUCGGUUAAGCGUCUGACUUCGGCUCAGGUCACGAUCUCGCGGUCCGUGAGUUCGAGCCCCGCGUCAGGCU
rfam:Felis catus isolate Cinnamon breed Abyssinian chromosome A3, whole genome shotgun sequence.